rnacentral:rRNA from 1 species
UACGGAGGGUGCGAGCGUUGUUCGGAAUCACUGGGCGUAAAGGGCGUGUAGGCGGUCCGCUAAGUCUGAUGUGAAAGCCCGGGGCUCACCCCCGGAAGUGCAUUGGAAACUGGCGGACUCGAGUCCCGGAGAGGAGAGUGGAAUUCCUGGUGUAGCGGUGAAAUGCGCAGAUAUCGGGAAGAACACCCGUGGCGAAGGCGGCUCUCUGGGACGGUACCGACGCUGAGACGCGAAAGCGUGGGGAGCGAACAGG